CCUACGGGAGGCUGCAGUGGGGAAUAUUGGUCAAUGGGGGGAACCCUGAUCCAGCCAUGCCGCGUGUGUGAAGAAGGCCCUCGGGUUGUAAAGCACUUUCAGUGAGGAAGAACGCCUGGUGGUUAAUACCCAUCAGGAAAGACAUCACUCACAGAAGAAGCACCGGCUAACUCCGUGCCAGCAGCCGCGGUAAUACGGAGGGUGCGAGCGUUAAUCGGAAUUACUGGGCGUAAAGCGCGCGUAGGUGGCUUGAUAAGCCGGUUGUGAAAGCCCCGGGCUCAACCUGGGAACGGCAGCCGGAACUGUCAAGCUAGAGUGCAGGAGAGGAAGGUAGAAUUCCCGGUGUAGCGGUGAAAGGCGUAGAGAUCGGGAGGAAUACCAGUGGCGAAGGCGGCCUUCUGGACUGACACUGACCCUGAGGUGCGAAAGCGUGGGUAGCAAACAGGAUUAGAUACCCCUGUAGUC
rnacentral:rRNA from 1 species